rnacentral:rRNA from 3 species
AGACCCGAAACCCGGUGAUCUAGCCAUGGGCAGGUUGAAGGUUGGGUAACACUAACUGGAGGACCGAACCGACUAAUGUUGAAAAAUUAGCGGAUGACCUGUGGCUGGGGGUGAAAGGCCAAUCAAACCGGGAGAUAGCUGGUUCUCCCCGAAAGCUAUUUAGGUAGCGCCUCGUGAAUUCAUCUCCGGGGGUAGAGCACUGUUUCGGCUAGGGGGCCAUCCCGGCUUACCAACCCGAUGCAAACUGCGAAUACCGGAGAAUGUUAUCACGGGAGACACACGGCGGGUGCUAACGUCCGUCGUGAAGAGGGAAACAACCCAGACCGCCAGCUAAGGUCCCAAAGUCAUGGUUAAGUGGGAAACGAUGUGGGAAGGCCCAGACAGCCAGGAUGUUGGCUUAGAAGCAGCCAUCAUUUAAAGAAAGCGUAAUAGCUCACUGGUCGAGUCGGCCUGCGCGGAAGAUGUAACGGGGCUAAACCAUGCACCGAAGCUGCGGCAGCGACACUCAGGUGUUGUUGGGUAGGGGAGCGUUCUGUAAGCCUGUGAAGGUGG